CGCGCAUGUGCGGCGGCUGGCGCUGGUUUCCGUAAGGCAAGGGCGCCCUGCUCCAGCAGUGGCCAUGGCGCGGCGCGUCGUGAAGGGGCUGCUGCUGAUGGAGGCGGCCGGGCUGCUCGGCGCCCUCCUGCUCUUCCGCGCCAUGGACCGCAGCCAAGAUUUCAGAUACACAAUGCAGAAGAGGUUUCCAUCAAUUCUGGAAGUGUAUUACAAAUCCAAUGAGUGGUCUGGAAUUCAUGGCAUAAGGGAGAAUGACCAAAUGACAUGGUUAAGCAGCAAGAACUGAACCCUCUGUAUCUGAACUGUUUCUUUCUUCUGAUGAUGCUUUUCACAUCCCUAUUGUGAAGCCACUUGUCACGCUCGAUUUCCCACUGGAUCUGUUUGACAUCUGUAAGAAGAAAGG